GUUCUUGUCGGCCUCAUUUUUCCUUGCUCGGGGUUUGAGGUGCCACCUUACAAAAGGAUGGGUGUACGCUCUCUUUUCAGAAUGUGGUUCAUCUCAAAGCCCUUUACACUUUGGAGCCAGGCCUGUUCAAUUUUACAAAUAACACGUUUUGCUUGUAGUCAGGGUGCUGUGACAACAUGAAGAGUUCGAGCUACCUCCCAGGAUGAGUGCAGGUUUUCCUGGUGACAAAUCUCAGGCAUUCAAAGGUUCUGUUAGCAGUGCCAUACUUGUGGGUUUACAGAGAUGGUGUGUCUGGCUGAGAACAAAGGAGCCGUACCAGGGAAGUUGAAGCCUAUCUUCAUUUUCAAGUGCAGGCUAAAAUAAGGUCUGAGGAAAAGAAUGAGCAGCGUGUGAAGGAUAGGAACAGAAAUCAUGGAAGAUCUGUUUGUCCAGGCCAGUGUUUCACCAUAAGAGAUCACUUUAAAAUAAAUGAGAUGAAAUAAUUCUUUGCAAUUGCAAAUUUACCUUCCUUGCUUACCACAUUGUUAACUGUAGGGACUGAUAAUCUGGUUCUUCCACUAUUAACUUGUACUCUGUGUUCUAGCAAUAAAUGCUCUUUAUGCUA
ensembl:processed_transcript Snhg1 small nucleolar RNA host gene 1